GUGAAGUGUAUAGAUACAAAUUAAACAGAGGAAUAAUGAAGACCCAAAUAGGCCUUUUUAUAUCAUUAUCAUGGCUGUCAGGUGUCCUGUCUUCUAACCAACUUGUCCAGUCUGAUCCAGCCGUGAUAAAGCCGGGGAACUCCCAUACACUCACCUGUCAGGGUUCAGGAGGAUUCACCAUUGCUGGCAAUACUAUGGCAUGGUUCAGACAGUUCUCUGAUGGAAAGUUACAAUGGUUGUGUUUUAUUGGUAGCGGUGGGGACAAACACUAUCAUAAUGAUGUUAAAGGGAGAUUCACAGUCACUAGAGAUGACACCAAUAACAAGAUGACUCUGAAAAUGGACAACAUGAAAACAGAAGACACUUCCGUGUAUUACUGUGCAAGAGACACACUGAUGGAAAAUCUAUCUUUACUAUAACAAUAAGUAGAAUAUCACUUCUUCACGUUAUCAGUAGGUGGCAGCACAUACAUUUACAAUUUGGACAUAUUAGCUACAAGUAUAAAUCAAAUUUGAAUUUCUUUGGGCUCUUUUACAUGUACAGUGCACUCUGAAGAGCAAUCUGCAUUGAUUAAUUUUGCAUAGGGCAUUUGACAGGUGGUGGAGGCAAUAUGUUGCCUUCUCACCACCUGUUUUAAGCCCUAAAAGCCCACACAACCGCAACACAACCAUGGAAGUGUGAAUGAGGCGUUUCUUUGUUGGGGUUCAUUCACACGGGUUUUU